UCCACUAAUUUUCUUGUGGAUCUCUUGGAAACAUAUCACAACUCAUCAUAUGUGGUUGUUAUUGUUGUUUUACUGUAUAUGUAGCUAUAAUAUUACGAGUUGAUCUAUGUACACAUGAGAGCGGGGGAGAUUUUUACCGUAUUUGUUUUUAUAUUUCAUUAUUUAUUGUAGGUAUUGAGGAAUAAUAAGAAGGAUUGUAUAAUUUCAAUAUGCUUGUGUGAACCAUAGUUUUUGCUAGUUAUCAUUUCCCUAAUUCUUAUACGUUGGUUAUCUUUAAUUUUGUUUGGUAUUUAACUCGUUAAGAAGAUUCUCAAAGAAAAUUAAUUACUAGUAUAUCACUAUUUCGUUAAAGACAAAUUUUGAGCUCUCAAUCAAGCUUCUGAUUUUCCUCAUAAGCGUACACUCGUAUUAUGCAUUUUUCUCGAUUUUUAAUCUUUUAAAGAGUUGGAUACUUUGACACACAGAAAUAAUACAAUUAAAAUUAGAGUCUUGUUAACAAGUGCUCAAAAAUACUAUUAUUUAUUAUUUAUUUAAAAAGUGAAAUAUUUUAAUUCUUAAUAAAUUGACUUUGAGAGCAGCUUUGCUCCUUUUCCUAAGGCUCCUUUUUCUCCUUUUCUUUUCUUAGAUUGAAGACAUGUGGCAAUAAUAAAUCUGAUGGUUGAAAAUUAAAAACACAAAUCAAAGAAUGAAAGCUGCAAUCUCACUGUAUUGUCUCUCCAUCUUCUUCAUUCAUUAUCCUGCUAACCUCCGCAUCAGCCACCGCCGGCGAUUCCCCUUUCCGGCAAACAGGCGGCGACUAUCCUGUUGAGAAGCUUCUAGAGCCUUUCACGAAUCAAACAAAAAAAUCACACAAAUUUCAAACUCCACCCAUCUCCCUUCCACCCCAUUAAUACACCACCAACAUAUUCACCUUCACCUUCAAUUUCAGAAUCAACUCAUGAGAUGUUUGAUUUCCUCAAAAAAAUAAGCUUUCUUCGAUUCCAAAAUCAAUCUCUUUCCUCAAACUUAUCCCCACUGUUUUAUUUUCUAGAUAUAUGUUGUUAGAAUUUGAGUUGUUUGAUUUCUAGAUAUGGUUUGUAUAGUUCUUCCUUCAAUUCCUUCACAUCCUCUCUUUAUGUUUCGUUAGUUUUCUGGGCUUGAUGAACAAUUGUUCUACCUAUGAGAUUAAUAUUAAAGGUGUUAAACGAUGAGGAUGAAGGUUGAUUUUCUGGGUUAAUUAUUAUUUUACCAUUUUUGUUGCUAUUGUUGAAUUAUCGGGAAGAUGAAAAGUGAGGAAAACCGCCGCCUUGUGACGGCCGGAAAGGGCGUUGCCGGCGGUGGCUGCAGCGGAGGUUAGCGGGAUGAUGAAUGAAGAAGAUGGAGAGACACAUUGAUUGCGCGCUUUCCUUCUUUAAUUUGUGUU
rnacentral:lncRNA from 1 species